rnacentral:rRNA from 1 species
AGCUCCAAUAGCGUAUACUAAAGUUGUUGCAGUUAAAAAGCUCGUAGUUGGAUUUCUGCGUCGGGACACGCAAUGCGUGGCCAUAACGGCCUAGCAUCAGUGGGUUCUUACGCAUCCUGCUCUUACCCGCGCUGGCCUUCGUUGGUUGGCGAUGGCGAGGGGCUCGUUUACUUUGAGAAAAAUAGAGUGUUCAAAGCAGGCUUUGCGCCUUGAAUAACUUAGCAUGGAAUAAUGACAAAGGACCUCGGUUCUUUUUGUUGGUGUUCGGCACUGAGGUAAUGAUUGAUAGGGACAGUUGGGGGCGUCAGUAUUCCAAGGUCAGAGGUGAAAUUCAUAGAUUCUUGGAAGACUAACAGAUGCGAAAGCGUUCGCCAUGGAUGUACUCU